GAUUUGUCGCCAGCGGCUUGCUGAGUGACAGGUCUCACCUCCCCAGCACCACCUGUGCCACCAGCACCCGUGGAAAUGGAAUUGAGGGCCUGAUUGUGAUGAUGCCACUCGUCCUUUGUGACUUCUUGCUGGGCCAUGGCGAAAUCACUGCAUCACACACAACACGCGCACCACGAAGAAAAGAGUCAUGUGGCCCAGAAUACCUAGAGUAGAGUGUGCUCCGUGGUCAGCCAGCAGCAGCAGCAGCAGCGAUUGUAAACAACAAUAGCCAUGGGCGCAGUUUUAGGGUCAAAGCAGGUUAUUCGUGCGGUGGCGAAAGACGCAGCGCGAAGGACUCGCACACACGGGCGGAGCCAUCGAGCUCUUCGGACCUUCCUCGAGGCCGUUUGGAGCGCGUCCGAGUGCGCGCUCGACGCCGCCGGCGCUUUUUCAAUCAAACAGGUUUCGAAUGGGACGGAUCUACACCAUUCCAUCAACAUCUUCACUCAAACUCUUUUAAUAUAACAAAUUCAACUCUGAGGAGUGAAUUUAGGCAUGGCACGCGUUGCAUACUUACGAGUUCUUACACUUUACACGCCUCUUUCUUCUUUUCCCUUUAACUUUCAAGUGCCAACAACAAAAAACCACAACACAACUAUCUAAAUCUAUAAUUUCAUGAGUUUAGAGUGGAAAAUUAGCGUUUUUACGCUUUGAAAUAUAAAAUUUAAUACACAGCUCAUUAAUAUUUAAUAUUCUUAUCAUGCACAUAGUAAAAUGAUAGUAGAUAAUCACCGGAAUGGAGUGCACGUGUUCGGCCAUCACGUACUGCGUUUGCAUGCGAGGUUUGAACCGUAAAGCAUUUAUUACACUCGCAAAUUUUAAAACUGGAGAGCGAGAUUGUGAAUACGUAAUCGUUAUGUAAAAUAUGAGACCGCUGCGACAAGAUUUGACGCUGGAAAUGUCGAACAACAGUUAAAGCUCGCAUCACUAAACUCAAACCGCACCUUGCGUAAUAUUCCAAACGCAAAGCACAGCGUUUGGAGUGGUCAACCAGGUAAUGUGAAUUCUUCAAAAUU